CCUCGAGCCUUGAUGCUUCGCCGGGGCUUUACCCUUCCGGGAGCAUGGUUCAGGGCCUUCACCUCUCCAAUUGCGCGUUAGCGCACUUGCCUGCCCUUGCUCCUGAGAGUCUGACUCCGCCGAGUCAUCUGCCAAACAGGGGUUUCCUCUUGCAUCCCGUUCCAGUUGUUGUUGAGGGAGGACCUUAGCCAGGGCCUUCUCCACAGAGGUGGCCACAGCCACAUUAAUCACAGCCUGCAAAUUCUGCUCCUGUGUAGAGGUUUCCAUAGUGCAGGAGGUGAUGCAAUGUGAUACCUAGAGGAGACAGAGGACAGGUAUCACUAGCAGGCAGCUAAACACCUAAC